rnacentral:sRNA from 1 species
GCUGGGCACAGUGGCGCAUGCCUGUAAUCCCAGAGGCUCAGGAGGCUAAAGGCAGGAGGAUCGUGAGUUCAAAAACCAGCCUCAGCAAAAGCGAGGUGCUAAGCACCUCAGUGAGACCCUGUCUCUA